AUCCUGGCCUUAUAGUUGGCUGUUUCUCAACUUACACAUGCAAGUCUCAGCACCCCCGUGAGAACGCCCUUUGUACCUUCACCAGGUAAAGGAGCUGGUAUCAGGCACACUCAUUUGCCCAUAACACCUAGUCUCACCACACCCCCAAGGGUACUCAGCAGUGAUAAAUUUUGUCAAUAAGCGCCAGCUUGACUCAGUCAGAGAUCAGAGGGCCGGCCAAUCUAGUGCCAGCCGCCGCGGCUACACUAUGAGGCCCAAGUUAACUAUUAUCGGCGUUAAGCGUGUUUAGGGAUAAAUAAAAUUGGGGUUAAAUUGACGCCUAGUUGUGAUAAGCCGGCUGUCAAGAAAGCCAUAAACGAAAGUUACCCCAAUUAUACUUGAAUACACGACAGCUGGGGCACAAACUGGGAUCAGAUACCCCACUAUGCCCAGCCGUAAAAAAUUAUUUACACCCACCAGCGCCAGGGAACUACGAGCAAUGCUUAAAACCCAAAGGAUUUGACGGUGUCCUAUCCCCCUAGAGGAGCCUGUUCUAUAAUCGAUGAUCCCCGCUACACCCAACCACUUCUAGCUUUUCAGUCUGUAUACCUCCGUCGAAAGCUCACCGUAUGAACGUUUACAGUGGGCUCAAUGAUCCCCAUCAACAUGUCAGGUCAAGGUGCAACUAAAGAAGUGGUAAGUGAUGGGCUACAAUUUCUAAUCUAGAACAAACGAAAAGCUGUGUGAAACCACAGUCAUGAAGGUGGAUUUAGUAGUAAAAAGAAAAUAGAGUGUUCUUUUUAAUUUGGCUCUAGGACGUGUACAAACCGCCCGUCACCCUCUUCGAUAUAUAAUCUUAAAAGUUUAUAACCCUACUUAAAACACAAGAAGAGGCAAGUCGUAACAUGGUAAGUGUACUGGAAAGUGCACUUGGUUAACNN
rnacentral:ncRNA from 1 species